UCAGGGCGUGGCUGAGACAGUAAGGCGCCUCACUUACACCGAGAGAACAUCCAUGCAAGUUGGAUCGCCCUGAGCCA
rnacentral:tRNA from 1 species